ensembl:snoRNA
GCUGGUGUAAGCGAUGACUGAAUUUUCUCCCCACCAGAGCGACAAGUGUUGAAUUCUCGCUGUUCAAGCCGGAUCGCGUCUGAUGCACCAGC